rnacentral:rRNA from 1 species
UACGUAGGGUGCAAGCGUUGUCCGGAAUUAUUGGGCGUAAAGAGCUCGUAGGCGGUCUGUCGCGUCGGAUGUGAAAACCCGGGGCUUAACCCCGGGCCUGCAUUCGAUACGGGCAGACUAGAGUGUGGUAGGGGAGACUGGAAUUCCUGGUGUAGCGGUGAAAUGCGCAGAUAUCAGGAGGAACACCGAUGGCGAAGGCAGGUCUCUGGGCCACUACUGACGCUGAGAAGCGAAAGCAUGGGGAGCGAACAGG